UCAAUUAAUAACACAAUUUUCCCUGUUGGGAUUAGUAGAGAUUUAGAAGCCCACGUAUACUCCAUCAACGAUUCACAAUUUAAACAUGAUCGAUUGAAGUUGUGUGUCCAAGUAAUUUGUGCUGCUUUCUAGAUUUUUUUGACUUUGUUACUUUGGGCUGUUUUUUGGUUGAAAAAAACAUUAAUAGUUUUAACUCAAAAACCCGGAAAAAUUGGUGGUUGAUUAUUGAUUAGUAGUAGGAAACUACUAUAUGACUCUUGUAAGAACUUUUGCUAAAAUGAGUUCUCAUUAUCAAUAAUUAUAGUGUUUGGCCAAACAAUAGGAAACUAAAAUAUUUCAAUGCUUGCUGCAGGAGAGACAGAUUUUUUGAACAAGUAUGGGGCUGAACUACUAGAAUCCUGUGUUGAACCCGUGGUGAUUCACGACUCCAAAGGACACACAAUACCAAGAUUAGAUGAUAAGAGCUUGAAGACCAUGAUGGAUUUCAUCGAAAGAAUUAAGAAAGAUGUCUCAAAAUAAGAAACGAGGUUAGACAACCAGCCAGUGCUUCAAAGGGAUUUUUGAAAUAUUUAUUCAUUUUAACAUAAAUUAAUAGCAUUGCUAUUUGUACUCUUAUACAAAUUUGUUACUAUUAGAUCCUCAACGCAAUCAAUUAUAUAAGAGUCAUAUUUGAAUAUAUAAGCAGAGGCUCUGUGCCAAAUUUGUGACA